GUACAACAUAUAAUAAAAUUGGAAUGAUACAGAGAACAUAAGCAUGGCCCCUGUGCAAGGAGGACAUGGAAAUUCAUAAAAUGUUCCAUACUUUU
rnacentral:snRNA from 1 species